AGAGUUUGAUCCUGGCUCAGGAUGAACGCUAGCUACAGGCUUAACACAUGCAAGUCGUGGGGCAGCAUGGGAGAUGCUUGCAUUUCCUGAUGGCGACCGGCGCACGGGUGAGUAACGCGUAUCCAACCUGCCCUUCACUCCGGCAUAGCCCGUCGAAAGACGGAUUAAUGCGGGAUGCAGUCAGAAAGAUGCAUAUUAAUUUGACGAAAGGCUUUAUGCCGGUGAGGGAUGGGGAUGCGUCCGAUUAGCUUGACGGCGGGAUAACGGCCCACCGUGGCUACGAUCGGUAGGGGUUCUGAGAGGAAGGUCCCCCACAUUGGAACUGAGACACGGUCCAAACUCCUACGGGAGGCAGCAGUGAGGAAUAUUGGUCAAUGGGCGAGAGCCUGAACCAGCCAAGUAGCGUGCAGGAAGACGGCCCUAUGGGUUGUAAACUGCUUUUGUGCGGGAAUAAAGGGGGUCACGUGUGGCCCUUUGCAUGUACCGUACGAAUAAGGACCGGCUAAUUCCGUGCCAGCAGCCGCGGUAAUACGGAAGGUCCGGGCGUUAUCCGGAUUUAUUGGGUUUAAAGGGAGCGUAGGCCGUCUCAAAAAACGUGUUGUGAAAUGUCCGGGCUCAACCGGGGCCGUGCAGCGCGAACUGUGAGACUUGAGUGUGCGGAAGGUAUGCGGAAUUCGUGGUGUAGCGGUGAAAUGCAUAGAUAUCACGAAGAACUCCGAUUGCGAAGGCAGCAUGCCGCAGCAUUACUGACGCUGAUGCUCGAAGGUGCGGGUAUCGAACAGGAUUAGAUACCCUGGUAGUCCGCACAGUAAACGAUGGAUGCCCGCUGUGAGCCUGUUUAAUGGUUUGCGGCCAAGCGAAAGCGUUAAGCAUCCCACCUGGGGAGUACGCCGGCAACGGUGAAACUCAAAGGAAUUGACGGGGGCCCGCACAAGCGGAGGAACAUGUGGUUUAAUUCGAUGAUACGCGAGGAACCUUACCCGGGCUUGAAUUGCAGGUGCAUGGGGUGGAGACAUCCCUUUCCUUCGGGACUCCUGUGAAGGUGCUGCAUGGUUGUCGUCAGCUCGUGCCGUGAGGUGUCGGCUUAAGUGCCAUAACGAGCGCAACCCCUCUCCGUAGUUGCCAUCGGGUUAAGCCGGGCACUCUGCGGACACUGCCUCCGCAAGGAGUGAGGAAGGUGGGGAUGACGUCAAAUCAGCACGGCCCUUACGUCCGGGGCUACACACGUGUUACAAUGGGGCAUUCAGAGAGCAGGGUGUACGCAAGUGCGCCCGAAUCAAGAAAGUGCCUCUCAGUUCGGACUGGGGUCUGCAACCCGACCCCACGAAGCUGGAUUCGCUAGUAAUCGCGCAUCAGCCAUGGCGCGGUGAAUACGUUCCCGGGCCUUGUACACACCGCCCGUCAAGCCAUGAAAGCCGGGGGCGCCUGAAGUCCGUGACCGCGAGGGUCGGCCUAGGGUGAAACCGGUGAUUGGGGCUAAGUCGUAACAAGGUA
rnacentral:rRNA from 1 species